rnacentral:rRNA from 1 species
GACAUCAAUCGAGACUCCGUUAGUAGUGGCGAGCGAACGCGGACCAGGCCUGGUCUGAAAUAAGGAGAAGUAUCUGGGAAGGUACGCCGUAGUGGGUGAUAGCCCCGUAUCCGUAAAAUGAAGACCUUUUAGAGUAGGGCGGGACACGUGAAAUCCUGUCUGAACAUGGGGGGACCACCCUCCAAGCCUAAGUACUCCUUACCGACCGAUAGUGAACAAGUACCGUGAGGGAAUGAUGAAAAGAACCCCGAUGAGGGGAGUGAAACAGAUCCUGAAACCGGAUGCCUACAAGCUGAUGGAGCUCUUCGGAGUGACAUCGUACCUUUUGUAUAAUGGGUCAGCGACUUAGUGUUGCGUGCAAGCUUAAGCCGAUAGGUGUAGGCACAGCGAAAGCGAGUCUUAAUAGGGCGAAUGAGUACGUAGCAUUAGACCCGAAGGCAAGUGAUCUAGAUAUGGGCAGGCUGAAGGUGCAGUAACAUGCACUGGAGGGCCGAACCGUUGAGCGUUGAAAAGCUCUCGGAUGACCUGUGUCUAGGGGUGAAAGGCCAAUCAAACUUGCUGAUAGCUGGUUCUCC